UCCGAGUUGACCCCGGCAGUCUCCCAUGAGUCCCCAACCCCUCCGAAGAGAGUUGCUGGCAACAUGGAACGAGGGUUGCGCUCGUUGCGGGACUUAACCCAACAUCUCACGACACGAGCUGACGAGAGCCAUGCACCACCUGUACAGAACCCUUACGGACCCCCCAUCUCUGGGAGUAAAUCCUGUAUGUCAAACCCAGGUAAGGUUCUUCGCGUUGCAUCGAAUUAAUCCGCAUGCUCCGCCGCUUGUGCGGGCCCCCGUCAAUUCCUUUGAGUUUCAGCCUUGCGGCCGUACUUCCCAGGCGGGGCACUUAUCGCGUUAGCUGCGGCACUGACGGGGUCGCUCCCCCCAGCACCUAGUGCCCAUCGUUUACGGCGUGGACUAC
rnacentral:misc_RNA from 1 species